AUAAUAUGUAGAAGAGUUGUGUACUCCGUCAACCGAUUUUGACGAAAAACGGGAUUCCUGAAUAGGGUUCCCUACGAAACCUACUCGAAAGGACAUCCAAAGGAGCGUAAACACUAUGGGAGUUAAAGGCGAUUCAAAUCUAAUCACCGGCACUGCUAUGCGAAACGCUUACACCGAUGUAUAUAUAGCUAGUCAUCAAAGAGACCACUUUAAAGAAUAUUAUAAUAUAUUGAUGUACAAGACAAAAUUAAAAAAAGUUACGAAAAUACAAAAUCUCGUUACUUGUUUGUACAGCAUCUGGGAUAUUUUCCAUAUUAUUACACUUUAUUAUCACCAAAAUAUUUUAUUUAUACAAAAACAUCUAACGAGU